rnacentral:rRNA from 1 species
AUUGAACGCUGGCGGCAGGCUUAACACAUGCAAGUCGAGCGAGCGGCGGACGGGUGAGUAAUGUCUGGGAAACUGCCUGAUGGAGGGGGAUAACUACUGGAAACGGUAGCUAAUACCGCAUACCAUCAGAUGUGCCCAGAUGGGAUUAGCUAGUAGGUGGGGUAAUGGCUCACCUAGGCGACGAUCCCUAGCUGGUCUGAGAGGAUGACCAGCCACACUGGAACGGAGACACGGUCCAGACUCCUACGGGAGGAAGCAGUGGGGAAGAUUGCACAAUGGGCGCAAGCCUGAGGCAGCCAUGCCGCGUGUGUGAAGAAGGCCUUCGGGUUGUAAAGCACUUUCAGCGAGGAGGCGUUACCCGCAGAAGAAGCACCGGCUAACUCCGUGCCAGCCGCCGCGGUAAUAC